UUUAACAUUCAUAAGUCUGAGAAAUUUCAAGAUUCACAAUAUAUACAAAGCAAAGUAUAUACAAGAUAAAUUAGAUACAAUUAAUAGAAAGAAUGAAGAGGGUUUGAAUUACAUAUAAACCAAAUAUUUUUAAAAUUCAAAGAUAUUUUAUUUUCCCAAUUGCAUGUAAUAAUAGCUUUCAACACGUUUUCCAAAAGUAUAAGAUCUAAACCAUUUUCCUCUCUCCCUUCCUUCCCCCUACUUGAGAUAGUGUGAAGAGUGAAUGAAAACUUUCUUUGUCUAUCAAUCAGCAACUUUUAAAUUAAUCAAUCAAAAACUUGAGCACCCCUAAUUAACACUAAGUAUGAGAGUUCACAAGUCACUUGCCAGAAUGGGUAACAACUCCAGAGGACAAUGCCAACCCCCUUGGGCAAUGCUAGGCAAAUUGAAAGUCUGCAAUUGGUUCCCAUAAAGUGGAAGAAGGGACAGGAAGUGGCAUGGAAAAAGGACUAUAAAAAAUCCUGAACUUCCUGUUCAAGGGACUUCUUCACCUUUUGGAGAGUUUGGCUUCUUGGACUUUGACUUCGACUUCACUUUUGGAGUUCUUGGGAAUUUGGUUUUUUUGGACUUCGCCUUGGUGAGCUGCAUUGGUGAGCUGGACUGAAGGAAGAGACUCUUUCCCUGGAUCCUACGUUGGCUUGCUGGAGUGAUCCAAAUUCAAUGGCGAGACAAAAGACAAGGAUGACUACAGAUGGCCUGGGAUGCAGUGGAUGACCUUGGCCUCUUUGAUGUCUGAACAAACUCCAAUCUCUCCGCAGUGCCUACUUAUGUUGCUUUCAUGGCUAUUGGAACAAAUUGUUCUUAUUUGCCAAUUCUACAAGGGGAAGUCUUCAUAUAAUUGGGGCAGAAGUCCCCUUAACUCACCAAGAGGUUUGAGGUCUGUUGAUUACCUGUCCUCUAAUUGGUUUAGCCCUUCUUUGAAGACAGUUUUACCAAGGUGUUGCUGCUGUGAUGCCACAGCUUCUUGGAACUUCAGGUUGGUUGAUAGGUGGACACCAGAGGUGGAUGAGGAACCCUGAAAAGGGCUCAGUGAGCCCUCACCCCUAAAGGUGCUAAUUCUCUAGGAACACCCUAUACACUCCUAUGACAGGCAUACAGAGAUUAGAAAGAUAAGGUCCCUGUCCUCAAAGCUUGCUGUUUAGUACAAGUGUAACAGUGUGGUAAAUUAUUCUUUUAGAUUUUAAUCUCCCAAGAUCAGGGAAAAACUAUCUUCUCUUUCCUUUGAGAUAAAAUCUAGUAUUGUCAUAAGAACACUGAAUUCAUGAGUUUCUGGCUUGGUUCUACCAGUCACUAAUUGUAUGAUCUUGAAUAAAUUACUUAGUAUUUCUAA